AUUGAACGCUGGCGGCAUGCCUUACACAUGCAAGUCGAACGGCAGCACGGGUGCUUGCACCUGGUGGCGAGUGGCGAACGGGUGAGUAAUACAUCGGAACAUGUCCUGUAGUGGGGGAUAGCCCGGCGAAAGCCGGAUUAAUACCGCAUACGAUCUACGGAUGAAAGCGGGGGGCCUUCGGGCCUCGCGCUGUAGGGUUGGCCGAUGGCUGAUUAGCUAGUUGGUGGGGUAAAGGCCUACCAAGGCGACGAUCAGUAGCUGGUCUGAGAGGACGACCAGCCACACUGGGACUGAGACACGGCCCAGACUCCUACGGGAGGCAGCAGUGGGGAAUUUUGGACAAUGGGCGAAAGCCUGAUCCAGCAAUGCCGCGUGUGUGAAGAAGGCCUUCGGGUUGUAAAGCACUUUUGUCCGGAAAGAAAUCCUUGGCCCUAAUACGGUCGGGGGAUGACGGUACCGGAAGAAUAAGCACCGGCUAACUACGUG
rnacentral:rRNA from 1 species